rnacentral:rRNA from 1 species
GGAAUCUUGCACAAUGGAGGAAACUCUGAUGCAGCGAUGCCGCGUGAGUGAAGAAGGCCUUUGGGUUGUAAAGCUCUUUUGUAGGGGAAGAUAAUGACUGUACCCUAAGAAUAAGGUCCGGCUAACUUCGUGCCAGCAGCCGCGGUAAUACGAAGGGACCUAGCGUAGUUCGGAAUUACUGGGCGUAAAGCGCGCGUAGGCCGUUGAGUUAGUUAAUUGUGAAAUCCCAAAGCUUAACUUUGGAACUGCAAUUAAAACUGCUCGACUAGAGUUUGAUAGAGGAAAGCGGAAUACAUAGUGUAGAGGUGAAAUUCGUAGGUAUUAUGUAGAACACCAGUUGCGAAGGCGGCUUUCUGGAUCAACACUGACGCUGAGGCGCGAAAGUAUGGGUAGCAAAGAGGAUUAGAUACCCUCGUAGUCCAUACCAUAAACGAUGAUUGCUAGAUGUUGGAAAUUUAUUUUCAGUAUCGCAGCUAACGCAUUAAGCAAUCCGCCUGGGGAGUACGACCGCAAGGUUAAAACUCAAAUGAAUUGACGG